rnacentral:rRNA from 1 species
UACGUAGGGUGCAAGCGUUAAUCGGAAUUACUGGGCGUAAAGAGUGCGUAGGCGGUUUUUUAAGUUUGGUGUGAAAUCUCCCGGCUUAACUGGGAGGGUGCGCCGAAGACUGGAAGGCUUGAGUAUGGGAGAGGUAAGCGGAAUUCCUGGUGUAGCGGUGAAAUGCGUAGAUAUCAGGAGGAACACCUGCGGUGUAGACGGCUUACUGGACCAUAACUGACGCUGAGGCACGAAAGCGUGGGCAGCAAACAGG